rnacentral:rRNA from 1 species
UACGAAGGGGGCUAGCGUUGUUCGGAUUUACUGGGCGUAAAGCGCACGUAGGCGGCUCUGUAAGUCGGAUGUGAAAUCCCUCGGCUUAACCAAGGAAGUGCAUCCGAAACUGCAAGGCUUGAGUACUUAAGAGGAUCGCGGAAUUCCCGGUGUAGAGGUGAAAUUCGUAGAUAUCGGGAGGAACACCAGUGGCGAAGGCGGCGAUCUGGGAAGAUACUGACGCUGAGGUGCGAAAGCGUGGGGAGCAAACAGG